CUUCACCGACCCCAGCCACAAAGGCACUUCACGCUCCUGGCCGUACGUGGCCAGCAAGGCCUGCGCCUC
rnacentral:antisense_RNA from 1 species